AUAGACAAGCAUAUAGUGUUCUUUCUGAGAGGUAGUGUGGCUCAGUGGAUGAGUCGGGGUGUGCUACAUUGGACACUUGUGUCCUAUUCCGCGCUCUGCUAGAAAUGGCAUUGUGCAGCCCCUCAGCUUAUUUAUAAAAUGGGGAGGCUGAUGCUUGACUGCCUCCUAAGAAGCAGAAAGAAGUUCUUUGUGAUGAUGUGGAGUCUGUUGCUAUCUGUGGAAAUGUGCUGUGUGGGCAUUAGGAGACGGGAGGACACCAGCUUACAAUGGCACCACCCAAGAUCUGCAUGUGCAUCCAGUGUUAAAAUCGGAGCAGUGUGAGGCACUAACCUAAAGGCUUUCGUUUCAUAGUAUUUACCAACCUCUGACAGCCUACGAGAACCUGCACAAGGCAAUGCAAUUAAAACAAUCACCAAACCGAAAGCCCCAAGGAGAAUGAGGAGGAGGAAGCUGCCUUCAUACAAGGCACACUACUACUGCAACAGCUGCAGGCAUCAGUGGUUUCUUUUCCUUUUUCCACCCCCGUCUUUGCUUGGCUAUGGGCCAAAGCAGGUCACCUGUGCAUUGUGCUUCCCACCAAAUAAACAAACAAAGCUCUGAGUGGUAUCUGUGGUAAACAACUUUUUCUGCAGUGCUAUGAAAGCAUGGAUGGCAAUGGGGGAACAGUCCUCUGCUGACUACUGUACAGCAAAGUAGGGCUCUCGGAUACAAAUUACCAAAGCUUUGCACAACUCCCCUGCAUGUGCUGCUUUUGCACAAGAUCACUAAACUCAUUUACCUUGUGACCUAAUCAGAUUCAAAGCUGAAGAUGAAACCAGGGGAAGCUAAUGAGAGCUGUGGCUGCUCAGAACACUUUUAUGUAGUCACCUACAUAUGAAUGCUGGUAUCUAACUUUAGGCAUACCAGUUUGUGAAGACUGGCCUGGGUGCCCCUGUCCCAUCUAGCCUCUUCUCUUCUCCACUAAAUGAAACAGGAUGAGAGCAAGAGGACAGUUGAUGAGUAUGUACAAUUGGUGAGAGCAGCAUCAUUUUACCUAACCCAGGGUCCCGGCUAAAUUCUGCAACAAAAUACUAAAGAACGUUAAAACCUGCCAUUGUGCUGUGUUCUCACUGACCUCAGCACGCUGGCAUGGGUUGCAAACAAGAGAGUCUAGUUAAUCCUGCGCUCUGCCUCAGACAUUUACCCACUUCUCACCAUCCCUUCACCAAACAGGUGUCUAUUGUGUUAAAAAAAAAGGGGGGGGGAAUAAGAUUUACAGGAUGAGAUUUUCUAAAGUACCUAAGGGGUUUAGGAGCACACCUCCCAUUGACUUGUGAGACUAAAAUAGGGAAGAAAAUA